rnacentral:rRNA from 1 species
ACGAACGCUGGCGGCGUGCCUAAUACAUGCAAGUCGAACGGUCUUUCUAUGGAAGCUUGCUUCCACUGAGAAGAUAGUGGCGAACGGGUGAGUAACACGUGGGUAACCUGCCCAUAAGAGGGGGAUAACAUCCGGAAACGGGUGCUAAUACCGCAUAGUUUUCUUGGUCGCAUGAUCGGGAAAGGAAAGACGGCCUUUGUGCUGUCGCUUAUGGAUGGACCCGCGGCGUAUUAGUUAGUUGGUGAGGUAACGGCUCACCAAGACGAUGAUACGUAGCCGACCUGAGAGGGUGAUCGGCCACAUUGGGACUGAGACACGGCCCAAACUCCUACGGGAGGCAGCAGUAGGGAAUCUUCCGCAAUGGACGAGAGUCUGACGGAGCAACGCCGCGUGAGUGAAGAAGGUUUUUCCGGAUCGUAAAACUCUGUUGUCAGAGAAGAACAAGUUGGAGAGUAACUGCUCCAGCCUUGACGGUAUCUGACCAGAAAGCCACGGCUAACUACGUGCCAGCAGCAGC